rfam:Cajanus cajan Scaffold132248_11, whole genome shotgun sequence.
CUGCACGAUGUCUCCCGGGCUUCUCUGAUUAACCUAUGACGCGAAAGCCCCAAUACACGUGCGAAAUCGCCGCCGUUCGUGUUGCAGUUUAGCCCUAAUUUUUUCAUAGCUGAACUGUGUCAAAGCAACGGCAAAAUCC